CAAGAGUCCCAAAUAAAAGACCCUUGGCCGAAUUUCCAUAUUAAAAUAAUUAGGAGUUUUUUUUUAGUUUUAGUUUUAGUGUUCUAAUUAAAUUAGGAAAACAUUUGAAAGGCCUAUUUAUAUGGCUUGGCCAGCCACCCUACAUAACAUUACAAUUACAUUGAAAAUUUCAGAUUUGAUUUGAGUGAAAAUUCUCUUUGAGUUCUUCAAGAAUUUUCUCUUGAGUUUUCUUUAGAAGUUGUUUUAACAAUCUUUUUUGAUUGUGGGAGCCAUCUUCAACCUUCUUCUUGCCAUUGAUAUUCUUUGGAGGGGAGAUUAGAGCC
rnacentral:lncRNA from 1 species